rnacentral:lncRNA from 1 species
CCAUUUCCUAUUCAAAAUGCUCCAGUCGGACUCGAGUUGGAUCUAUCUUGUCAAAGUUGUGGAACACAUGCUAUUUUUUGUGUCAAACUGGAUCAUCAUGGAGAUUCUUUUCCUACGCUGUAGCCUAAUUAAUUUGACUAUGUCCAUCAAGCAUCUAGUUAGUCGCUAACUAAUUGUGAUCCUUUUUUGUGAAAGGAGAAAACACCUCUGAAGUAGUACAUAAAUUGGGCCCUGGUAAAAUUUUAUAUUUGCUUUCAUCUAGGGUAACCUUGUUUUAUGUGUAUGGGUUUCAAUUAUAUUACUUAUAUCGUGGAAUUGAAGACUGUAGCAACGAGAUCUUUGUCGGGAAAGGGUUUUGAAAUAAGUUUUUGUUUCAGUUGAUGCUUUGUGCUUUUGUGUAUAAAAUCUUCAAAUAUUUAUGCUACUGGAGAUUUCUUAGCUUCUUAUGUAAAGAGCUCAAAUUUGAGCUUCAUGCUUUUACAUUGACGCUGUUCUGUAUUUCUUGCUCUGAUUUCAUGGAAGACUUGAAAAUAGGAAAUUGGUGUGUAAUUUACAUACAUGCGUUACAAUGGUGUUCUGGGCAAGUCCUUCAAAUAGGUAAAAAUGUAUAUCUAGGUUUAUGUUAGAAAUUCUUGUUAUGUUCUUUUCGUAUUUACUUUUCUAAAUAGUUAUGUACUUUUUGGACGUGCUUCUAGGGUUUUAAAUCUAAUAUCUGUUAAUCAAUCAAGAAUUUGAGGGAGAUUAAAAUUGUUGAAGUCAUACAUCUUUAAAUUGGGAUGACAGGUAAAAUCAUAUUGUUGGAUUUUAAAAUUUUCUUGUGGUUAGCUUUGACAUUUGUCCUAAAAUUUGAAUUUACGGAAUUUGUAUGGCUUGACAUCUAUGUAUCUAUUGAUAUUCACGCCUUGUUAUCUUUUAUGUUAAAUUUCCAAAUCUAUCAAGCAUCUGAGUGAUUUAAAAUUAGCUUUAGAAUUGGUGAAGCAAAUUGGUUGCACACGUUGAGGAUGAAGCACAUACAUAGAUUUCAUUAUUAUUUAAGCAAAGGGCAUGUGGAAGUAUUAGUCAUCUACAGAAGGAGAUUUAUCAAAAAUUGGAUAGUUUUCCAGAGCGUUUUUAUUUUUUUACUUAACAUAAUAAAAACAUAAGAAUAGGAUGAGCAAGAAACCAUGACAUCUUGGUGAUUGCCAUAUGAUAUAAGGCACAUCGACUAGAGAAAUUUAAUUUUAAGGUUUAAGAUCAUUUCUUGCAUUUUAUGCCAUGAACUUAGAAUUCAAUUUGCUAUCGUAUGACUUUGAAGAAUUGUUUGUUCGGUGGCAAAAAUCAAUCCAAGAAAUGUAUUUGGUUCUAGAAUUAAACUAUUUCAUUCUCCUCUUGUUUAUUUCAUUGCCUUUGUUAUUAGGUAGGUCUUUAUUUUAUGACGACAAUUUUGUUAUUUAUUUUCUUAAAAAGCUGAAAAUAGUCCUUAUGUUCUAUAAUUCUUUGUGGUUAAUCCUGGACCGAAUCUUUGUUUUGUCCACAGAAUACACAAGUCCACGGAUUUUAUGAUGAAUGCCUACAGAAGUGAGUUCAUUAAGUCCAAUCCUGAUUUGCAUCAAAAGUUAUUUUCAUUUACUUAUAUUUUUCAUACCUAAUUGUAUCUGGUUAAUUUAAUAAUAGAUUGAGAAGAUUGUUAUAAUUUGCAUCAAACCAAGAUUAGUAUAUUUUAAAGAUGAAAAACAAGGAGUUUUAUUCCUUAGUAAUGAGAUCUCAGAGAAAUUGGAUGAACUAUAUUGACAAAUUAUUUAAAGAAAGGCGUGGCAUGGAUAUUUGGUAUUUGACGAAGUCCACUAUAGCUAGGAGUUUUAUUAUACUAUAAGAAUUCAAUCUUUAUUGGGGAUUAAUUGUAUAAAGAGGACAAAGAUGAUAAAAAUAAAUAAAUAAAUAAAUUAUCCUCGAUGGAAUUAGAAAUGUUUGAGCGAGGUGGGUAUUUUAUGUCUAUAAUAGAGAAUCACUUUUGAUUAUGCUUCUGUUUCUAUUAUUAUUGAUUUGCUUUUGAGAUAAUAAAUAACAAUGUUGACGAACCUCAUCCUUUCAUCAAACAGGCUAUCUUCAGCAAUUUUUAUUGCAAAAGAAGAAGCCACCAAAACAGGACAAUGAGCUUCCAUUAUGUAGCAUUGAUUACACUUCCUUAAGUUCUUAGUCUAAUGAUUCAUUUUGUUGUGACAAAUAAAUACUUCUCGAAAUAUAUUUUAGUUUGUUACAAUUCACAACUUCGUUGGCAAGGAAAGAUAUAUUUGAUUUGGGAUAAUUUUAAUUUCCUAUAUAAUGAUAUUUGUGCUUUAGUUAUACAUGGAAAAGGCUAUGUACAUAAUGUCCUUUCGUUUCCUUUAUCAACUCAGCAGACAUCUACCUACUGUGAUAAUGAAAUAACACUUUUGGCUAUUAGAAGUGGGUAUGCUGGCUAGGUGUUUGUGCAUGCCUCUUGUUUCUAUUUACAUUGGGGAGAUCAUCGAGCAAGGAAGCCUCUUAUGUCUGACACCUAUAAGGUAGUUGUCUUUAUUUUGUUGCCCUACCGUUGCACGUGGGAGAUAAUUUUUCCUCUGUUAUAGUAUCUAUUAUUUUGUUAAGUAUUUAUUUUUAUUCAAUCAGCUAACUAGGGAAUGUGACAUUUGAGAGAUAAAUUUAGGUUUUCAGUUUUUUUUUUCCUAGUUUUGUAGGAGGCUGGUUUGGAAUAAAUAAAAAGUUGGGUUUAGCUUACUUUCAACCUAAAAGUGAAUUUAUAUGUUGCGUGGGAUAGAUCCUUGCUAUUAGACAUACACCUCUGAGUACAAUUUUUUUAGCUAUCUACCUUUUGGGAAUAUAACUAUUUAUCACCACUUGUUAGUUCGUCACUGGUAAUCAAAUUUGUAUUCUACUUUCAAAGAUGAACAAUAGAACCCUAGAUUCUACUUCAUUGCGAGAGUGAACAUUUUCUCACCAUCACAAUUCUUUAUGACAUGGGUAGUAUCAUUUGGCUACAGUCUAAGCCUCCUUAAGAAGAGGUAUUCCUUUUGUCGUUCAUUUACUUAGCUUUCAAAUUUAUGGUACCAUGUCGAUUCUAAUUUAUUUGAAGUGUCUCGAUCAUGAACAGAAAAAGGGGUUUCGCUUGUUAUGGCAGUUGCACGCUUUCAAAGGGCAUACAUCAAUCCUCUGAUCAAGUUGGCCAUUCACUUCGACUAUGCAUGUCCCCCAUUAGCUUUAUUGGUUUUUGAGUUCUUUUUUAAAUCCAUUGCUACUAGAAACGUAGGAUAUGUUUCUUGAAUUUCUUGUUGGUUGCUUUGCAAUUAUAUUAUGACUUUAUUUUAUACAUUGGCUUGCAUUUGGUGCACAACAUAAUUUUUCGUUCUUAAUACUUUUUUAUUCUUCUUUUUCAUGUCAUUUAUGUUGGGAAAUUGGAUUUCAAUGAGAUCAUUGUUUCUCUUUGAUUUCAAUGUUGUUGCAUAUUUAUCAUAGAUUUAAUUGUUUGAUUUUUCAAUAGGUUCAUAUAUUGUUAAAGUAGAUGUGUACUAAAUUCUUUAAGCACUCUCAUUGUCUCGCAUGUAACAAAUUCUUUUAAUGAACCCACAUGUAAAUUUCUUUGUUCACAUUGAUUUUUCCUCUACGAUCUAUCUGUGGUUUAUUGUGCUGUAAAAUCUCAGUGUAUUGUGUUUUUUGGAUUUGGUUUAGCUGGCAAAUAUUUCUCUUCCAAUUGCACACAUUCUUUAAAAAGUAUUUUAUCAUUUAUGGAAAGAAUGAUAUACUUUAUUGCAUUUUGUGGUUUAGGUUCACUAGCAAGACUUUGUACGCUUUGUUGUUUUGCUUUUGAUUAUUGCUUUGAUCGUCCUUGAAUUUAACAAUUUGUUUUGUUGAGAUGACAGGCAACACAGUUGCUGCUCUCAUGGCUCAUCUUUGCUCAAGAAACUGAGGUGAAAUGUAAGAUUAAUACUAUAAAUAAGUGAACAUUCAUGGAAAUGUCUAUUGGUGUAAACUUAUCUUUAUAUGCUUCAUCAACCAUAGAAAAUGUUUAGUUCCCAAGCAUUCACUAUACACAUUUAACGGUCAACGUAGAAACACUUUCAAGGCAUAUUUGCUACAUGACUAGGUAGAUACAAAUUGCUAGCUUCUUCAUUUCCCUAAUUAUUGCCCACAUUUACUAAAUGAGUCAUUAUAAAGUAAGAAAAUAAAGAACCAAUAUCUGUUUCUUCAUGUUGCGAUCGUGAUAAUAAAAAUGGCAAAUAAGAACUCAAGAUCGAAGGCUAAGGUAAAACAUCAUAUCUCUAUCAGAUUUGAAAUAAUCCAACUUUCUAUUAGUAAUUCAGCCAAUUAGUCCAAUUUAUUCAGGAAGAUUUACUGAUGUUAUUUGUUAUGUAAAGUACAACCUAUACUCGCUUUAGCCAGAUAAGUAAAUCUCUAGAGAGAAAAUAUUAAAAAAGGAAUUAGCAUAAUGUAGAGAUAUUUGGGGAGCUGAGGAAACAGAGAGAGGAAAACAGAAUAAAAAAUUCACUAUCAAAAUAGUGGACAAAUUUAAGUUUUAGAGCUAUGCUUAAAUUAUCACAUGUUAAGGGCUUCCUCUGCUCUCUAUAUAUUUCAUUUUUAACCUACAAAUGAACAAACAAUUACCUUCAAGUUUUGAAACUCAAAUUUGCUCUUUUAAUGCAGGACAUACAAGUGCAGAUGAGACGUUAAGGAGAAUUAGGGUAUCCAUCAUGUUCAAAAAUUAACGGAACCUGCAGAUUUUCAAGAAUUGGUGAAUUCCAGCAUUACGACAAGGUAAUUAAUGUAAUAUUUAAAUUACACUUCAAAGUAUAUUCUUUUUGUUUGUCUAUUUCCUAGAUUGAAUCAUAUUUGUGACAGUAUUUAGUUAUGUUCAUUGCACGUCUUACCAUGUAGGUGUACAAACAUGAACCAGGAAGCCGCAAUUCCUUUUGCUGUCAUUGUACACGAGCUUUUAAAUAUUUUUUUUUUUUUUAAAGUUAAAGGAGGGCGGUACCUCCAAGAUUUUAUUAAUUUGCCCUCACUUGUGACGGAAGAAUACCGUGGUUGCAUAUGGAAAAAUGAAAGCAAUAAAUGAGAAAGACUACUUCCCUUACAAUAAUUGAAAAUGCUAAAGAAAAUGUGUUAAGCGGUAAAAAAUGAAGUACUACUUCCCUUACAAUAAGAUUUGAUGCAAUUAAAGACAAAAAGUAAAAACAACUAAAACUAAAAAUUAAAAUAGAAUUACCAUUCACAUUCUAACAUUGGGCAGUCCAUGUCUAUCAAUUUGUGCGAGUGCUCGAAUAUGACGUGGUAGGUCAGAUGAUCCAUACAUUUGAUAUCGCCGGUGCUCCCAACCUAUUGCGGCAAGAGCGUCUGCAACUUGGUUUUCCUCUCUACAGAUAUGGGUAACUCUGUCUCUAUCGAAGGAGAUGAUGUCUGCAAUCUUUCUGAGUAUGCCUCCUUCAUCUUUUGUGAUGCAAUAAAUGGCUGCACUGGAAUCUGCCUCAACCCAAAUGUCUAAAAAUCUAAGGCCCCUAGCCAAUAGUAUCCCAUCAAGAAUAGCCUUCUAGUAUCUUACAUUGUUCAUACAAUGUUGAGAAUGCCCUUAUGCAUUUUCCUGUGUGGUCUCUGACGAUACCUCCCCCGCUCGCAAAGUCAUCCUUGAAGUUUUUAAACUUGAAGGUAUGUCAACUUCUAUUUAAGUUUGUAAAUUCAUUUGGAUACUUAUUCCUUAGCUUUUGAAAUAGUCAAGCAUGAGAACGCAUGUAGUUGUUUUGAUCACUUACGAAGUUUGCAAAGAAUUUUGAAGUAGAAUGGAAUCCCUUAUAUUAAUUCAGAAAGCUCAAUGGGCUCCAAUAAUUCUAAAUCGCUCUCCCCUGAAUGCAGGGCAACACUCUGACAUUGUAACUAUCCAAAGGAAAGAAAGACAUGUAACAAUAAGAAUACUUUUACUAGAGUUUCGAAUUCACCAGUAGCAAUGGUCGUACUAAGCUUUUCCCUUUAAAUGAAAAUAUUCAUCAGGGAAUGGAAAUGGUAAUGUCUUAAUCCAAUAGUAUGAAAUUCUUUUACAAGAUCAAUUCAAAUUGGCACCCUAGCCAUGGGCAAUAGACAUGCUAUAAUGGCCACAACAAUUGGUCAUUUAUUUAUAGUAUUUCACCAGAAAAUUGAAUCUUUCCUUUUGGUCUUCAUCUUCAAGAUGGUUAUAAUCCGUUUUUAGAACUCAAUUUAAGUGCUGGGAAGAUGAUUACAGGUAUCAAGCACUUGAAUUCAAAAUGAGAAAGGUCAAGUAUAGCACAUGGCCAACUUAUGCUCUUUCCCUACAAUAUGAGAAAUUGCUUAAUGCAAAAGAUGGACUUCAAAUUACUGUGGCAUUAUUGCAGGAGAUGUUUAUGUCGCUGUAGAAAGUACUUCGAUUUUUUGCCCAGGUCUGAAGCAUAUUGCUGCAACAUUGUUUUCUUCAGUUUGGGAGUUCUAUCUAUCUAUUUAUUUAUUAAACUGCUUUAUAGCUAUGGUUGGUCCUCCAGUAUUUGGGUUGAUAUGUUAGGAGUCGCUUCGAAAAAGAGGAGCUACAACAAAGUUUUGGAGAUUACAAAUGAUUAAGAGGAAAAAAACCAAGUGUUCAAGACAUCAAAUAUCCAAUCAAUAUAAUAAAAGUGGUAGAUUCAAAUGUGAGUGAGCUGAAGUCAUUGGAUGUACCGUGGAUCAUGUGGUAAUUUUAGAUUCUCUUCUAUAGGUCUACUAUUGCCCGUUCUAUGUAAUAUCAGAACCAUCAAAUUUCAGAGUUAUUUCAAUAUCUUUAAUAGCAACAUGUUAAACUGACU